CUAAGAAUAUUCCGCAAUGGACGGAAGUCUGACGGAGCGACGCCGCGUGGAUGAAGAAGGCCGAAAGGUUGUAAAGUUCUUUUCGGGAGGAGGAAUAAGUGCGGCAGGCAAUGGCCGCGCGAUGACGUUAAUCCCGGAAUAAGCCCCGGCUAACUACGUGCCAGCAGCCGCGGUAACACGUAGGGGGCGAGCGUUGUUCGGAAUCAUUGGGCGUAAAGGGCGUGCAGGCGGCCCUGCAAGUCUGGCGUGAAAUGCCCCGGCUCAACCGGGGAGACGCGCUGGAAACUGCGGGGCUAGAGUACAGGAGGGGAUGCCGGAAUUCCAGGUGUAGGGGUGAAAUCUGUAGAUAUCUGGAAGAACACCAAUGGCGAAGGCAGGCAUCUGGCCAUGUACUGACGCUGAGACGCGAAGGUGCGGGGAGCAAACGGG
rnacentral:rRNA from 1 species